AGCAGCAGUGGCCGGUGACAGUUCACAUCGUGGCCGCUCCAGGCUCAUCAGUUGAGAACUUACUAUGUGCUGGGCACUGUGUUAAGGAAAAUACAUAUUAGCAAACUCUUUCAACCAGCCAGUGUUGCGCUAAAGCUGCUGCUUGCCUCUUCCUUUUCAUGCUACCAAAGCGGAGUUCAGCACAACAGAAACAGAUGGACAGAAAGUUUCAGAAGACAUGGGAUUUUAAAAACCACCGAUCUGUUAGGAAACAGCCUUGUUUCCUCAUUUCCACGGAAGUAAGGGUUUAUUGGAAUCUAUGGACACCACAGAAAACCACCACUCCUGCAAUACUGUUCUGCAGGAUGACCAAGUGAACACUGCAAUUACUGGGAGGUUUUAUAGACACCAUAAAAUUGUAAAACUGCAGAGGUGAUUUCAGUAAUUUAUUGCUGGCUUCUUCAG
rnacentral:lncRNA from 1 species